AUCUUGGGGAAGACCACUAUUCUUUACAAAAGAUCACAGCAACUCGGGCCACCAUCCUAGUACCAAUUUACCAGCCUACGUGUACAUGAAUGUCCUGAAUGACCUGUGAUAACCUACCCACAUCCAGCUGUAUGGAAAGUCUGCAGUAAUGAAGAGCAUCAGACGUGGAGUCCAUCUUGAGGAAAAUGGCAGCAAGAUCUAAGGGGUGCUAAAAAUUAUUAUCCUUGAACUAGCCCCAGCAAAUGAUGGGGAACCACAGUGAUAGCUCCCCUCAAACGGCAAGCUUAUUGAGGAUAACAUAUCAGUCAACCCCAACACAGAGCUGUCAUCGAAAUCUGCAUGUUAAAACGGAGUACAUCUUGACAUCUAUUGACGGUUUAACAUGUAACAUGUGGUGGCCAUGCAUACCACAAUAAUAACUACUGGUAUAUAAUUGGCAAUAAUAAUAAAAUCUGAUGUCCAGCAGUGGCCGUUGCAAUAUCCAUGCACACACAUGGCACAGAUUUAUCCAGGAUUUUUUUUGUCAAGAGAUCUAUGUCAGAUGGGAUUGGGAAAAUUAUGAUGAUUUAAUCAUAAUAGGAAUGUUUUUAGGCUAUUGAAUGAUUCAAUGUACCAAUUUUAAAAUUAAUUGAUUAAAACAGAUAUAAUUACCCAAAAAAUAUUUACAAAUCAAAUUGGCAAUUUUCAGUGCUACUUGUUUUUGGGAAGGGGCCUAUGUUUGGUACCA